rnacentral:tRNA from 1 species
GAAGGUGUAGCUUAAGUGGUCAAGUGCUUGCUUAGCAUGCAUGAGAUUCUGGGUUCAAUCCCCAGUACCUCCA